GCUGGUCUUUAGAGCGAGAUGGAACGACCUGAUCCCAUUCCGAACUCAGAAGUCAAACGUCUCAGCGCUCACGAUACUGGGUUUGUCCUGGGACAAUGAGUCAAGGCCAGCA
rfam:Candidatus Levybacteria bacterium RIFCSPHIGHO2_01_FTLL_37_33 rifcsphigho2_01_scaffold_63369, whole genome shotgun sequence.